AGCCACACUUAAAAUGAAACCAGAGCACAAAUUAUGUGUGGUUCUUUUGACGAAAUGUCACUAAAACCGAAUGUGGCAUACAAUGAAAGGAAGGACAGAGUGAGUGGGUUUGUAACCAAUGGGCAAGAGACACUGCCUGAGUAUGCAGAUCAUGCGCAGGUAUUUAUGAUAAGAGGACUUAUAAAAAAUUAUAAGCAACCCGUUGCAUACACAUUUUCUCAGUCUGCCACAAAGGGACCAGAACUGGCAAAACAAUUAAAGGCUGUCAUCACAGAACUACAAAAUGCUGGUCUUAAUGUGGUAGCAACAGUGUGCGACCAAGGAACAAAUAAUGUUAACUGCAUUAAAUUCUUGUUACAAGAAACAAGAGGUAUUCUGUUAAGAAAAUCAGAAGAACCUGAGGGAAAUAUUAUUUUAAUAAAUAAACAGGAAAUCAUUCCCUUGUAUGACCCACCUCACUUAAUGAAAUGUAUAAGAAAUAAUUUAAUAACGAAAAAUCUACUAUAUAAAAAAGACAACAAAAUGCUAAUGGCAAAGUGGGAACACAUAACUGCACUGCACCAAGAAAACCCAGGCUACAAAGGCAUAAGACUGGUGCCAAAAUUAACAGACUCCCACUGCAUUCCCAGUAAAAUUCCACGGAUGAAAGUUAAAUUUGCUACGCAACUAUUCAGCCAAACUGUAGCAUCAAAUAUGGGCUACCUAGCAGAAAAAGGAAUAAUCUCUCAAGAUGCGCAAAAUACA